rnacentral:rRNA from 1 species
CGAAAGCCUGACGGAGCAACGCCGCGUGAGGGAGGAAGGCUCUUGGGUUGUAAACCUCUUUUCUCAAGGAAGAUAAUGACGGUACUUGAGGAAUCAGCAUCGGCUAACUCCGUGCCGGCAGCCGCGGUAAUACGGAGGAUGCAAGCGUUAUCCGGAAUAAUUGGGCGUAAAGCGUUCGUAGGUGGUGAUGUAAGUCUGCUGUUAAAGCGUGUAGCUUAACUACAUAUAGGCGGUGGAAACUACAUGACUAGAGUGCGUUCGGGGCAGAGGGAAUUCCUGGUGUAGCGGUGAAAUGCGUAGAUAUCAGGAAGAACACCGGUGGCGAAGGCGCUCUGCUAGGCCGUAACUGACACUGAGGGACGAAAGCUAGGGGAGCG